rnacentral:rRNA from 1 species
UACGUAGGGGGCUAGCGUUGCUCGGAAUCACUGGGCGUAAAGCGCACGUAGGCGGAUUGUUAAGUCAGGGGUGAAAUCCUGGAGCUCAACUCCAGAACUGCCUUUGAUACUGGCGAUCUCGAGUCCGGGAGAGGUGAGUGGAACUGCGAGUGUAGAGGUGAAAUUCGUAGAUAUUCGCAAGAACACCAGUGGCGAAGGCAGCUCACUGGCCCGGUACUGACGCUGAGGUGCGAAAGCGUGGGGAGCAAACAGG